CCUACGGGUGGCAGCAGUGAGGAAUAUUGGUCAAUGGCCGGGAGUCUGAACCAGCCAAGUAGCGUGAAGGAUGACUGUCCUAUGGAUUGUAAACUUCUUUUAUCUAGGGAUAAAAUCUUCCUCGUGUGCGUUUCUGUAUGUACCUUAUGAAUAAGGAUCGGCUAACUCCGUGCCAGCAGCCGCGGUAAUACGGAGGAUGCGAGCGUUUUCCGGAAUGAUUGGGGUUAAAGGGAUAGGAGGUGGAGUGUUAAGUCAGGGGGGAAAGGUUGCGGCCCAAACGUAGAAUUGCAGUGUAAACGGGCUGUCUUGAGAACACUAGAGGUGGGCGUAAUUCGUGGUGUAGCGGU
rnacentral:rRNA from 1 species